GAUGAACGCUGGCGGCGUGCCUAAUACAUGCAAGUCGAGCGAACGGACGAGAAGCUUGCUUCUCUGAUGUUAGCGGCGGACGGGUGAGUAACACGUGGAUAACCUACCUAUAAGACUGGGAUAACUUCGUGAAACCGGAGCUAAUACCGGAUAAUAUUAUGAACCGCAUGGUUCAAAAGUGAAAGACGGUCUUGCUGUCACUUAUAGAUGGAUCCGCGCUGCAUUAGCUAGUUGGUAAGGUAACGGCUUACCAAGGCAACGAUGCAUAGCCGACCUGAGAGGGUGAUCGGCCACACUGGAACUGAGACACGGUCCAGACUCCUACGGGAGGCAGCAGUAGGGAAUCUUCCGCAAUGGGCGAAAGCCUGACGGAGCAACGCCGCGUGAGUGAUGAAGGUCUUCGGAUCGUAAAACUCUGUUAUUAGGGAAGAACAUAUGUGUAAGUAACUGUGCACAUCUUGACGGUACCUAAUAAGAAAGCCACGGCUAACUACGU
rnacentral:rRNA from 1 species